rnacentral:rRNA from 1 species
AUACGGAGGGUGCAAGCGUUAUCCGGAUUCACUGGGUUUAAAGGGUGCGCAGGUGGGCUGAUAAGUCCGUGGUGAAAUCUCCGAGCUUAACUCGGAAACUGCCGUGGAUACUAUUGGUCUUGAAUAUCGCGGAGGUAAGCGGAAUAUGUCAUGUAGCGGUGAAAUGCUUAGAUAUGACAUGGAACACCAAUUGCGAAGGCAGCUUACUACACGAUUAUUGACGCUGAGGCACGAAAGCGUGGGGAGCAAACAGGAUUAGAUACCCUGGUAGUCCACGCCCUAAACUAUGAUUACUCGACAUACGCGAUACACUGUGUGUGUCUGAGCGAAAGCAUUAAGUAAUCCACCUGGGAAGUACGACCGCAAGGUUGAA